CCUACGGGGGGCAGCAGUGGGGAAUAUUGGACAAUGGGCGAAAGCCUGAUCCAGCCAUGCCGCGUGUGUGAAGAAGGCCUUCGGGUUGUAAAGCACUUUCAGUGGGGAAGAAAGCCUUGGGGCUAAUACCCUCGAGGAAGGACAUCACCCACAGAAGAAGCACCGGCUAACUCCGUGCCAGCAGCCGCGGUAAUACGGAGGGUGCGAGCGUUAAUCGGAAUUACUGGGCGUAAAGCGCGCGUAGGCGGUCUGAUAAGCCGGUUGUGAAAGCCCCGGGCUCAACCUGGGAACGGCAUCCGGAACUGUGAGGCGAGAGAGCAGGGGAGGAAGGUAGAGUUCCCGGGGUAGCGGUGAAAUGCGUAGAGAUCGGGAGGAAUACCAGUGGCGAAGGCGGCCUUCUGGACUGACACUGACGCUGAGGUGCGAAAGCGUGGGUAGCAAACAGGAUUAGAUACCCGAGUAGUC
rnacentral:rRNA from 1 species